AGAGUUUGAUCAUGGCUCAGGACGAACGCUGGCGGCGUGCCUAAUACAUGCAAGUCGAGCGAAUGGAUUGAGAGCUUGCUCUCAAGAAGUUAGCGGCGGACGGGUGAGUAACACGUAGGUAACCUGCCUGUAAGACUGGGAUAACCCACGGAAACGUGAGCUAAUACCGGAUAGGCGAGACUCCCGCAUGGGAGAUUCGAGAAAGGCGGAGUAAUCUGCCACUUACAGAUGGACCUGCGGCGCAUUAGCUAGUUGGUAGGGUAACGGCCUACCAAGGCGACGAUGCGUAGCCGACCUGAGAGGGUGAUCGGCCACACUGGGACUGAGACACGGCCCAGACUCCUACGGGAGGCAGCAGUAGGGAAUCUUCCGCAAUGGACGAAAGUCUGACGGAGCAACGCCGCGUGAGCGAAGAAGGCCUUCGGGUCGUAAAGCUCUGUUGUUAGGGAAGAACAAGUACCGUUCAAAUAGGGCGGUACCAUGACGGUACCUGACGAGAAAGCCACGGCUAACUACGUGCCAGCAGCCGCGGUAAUACGUAGGUGGCAAGCGUUGUCCGGAAUUAUUGGGCGUAAAGCGCGCGCAGGCGGUUUCUUAAGUCUGAUGUGAAAGCCCACGGCUCAACCGUGGAGGGUCAUUGGAAACUGGGGAACUUGAGUGCAGAAGAGGAGAGUGGAAUUCCACGUGUAGCGGUGAAAUGCGUAGAGAUGUGGAGGAACACCAGUGGCGAAGGCGACUCUCUGGUCUGUAACUGACGCUGAGGCGCGAAAGCAUGGGGAGCGAACAGGAUUAGAUACCCUGGUAGU
rnacentral:rRNA from 1 species